rnacentral:rRNA from 1 species
AGUGAACGCUGGCGGUAGGCCUAACACAUGCAAGUCGAACGGCAGCACAGUAAGAGCUUGCUCUUACGGGUGGCGAGUGGCGGACGGGUGAGGAAUACAUCGGCAUCUACUUUUUCGUGGGGGAUAACGUAGGGAAACUUACGCUAAUACCGCAUACGACCUACGGGUGAAAGCAGGGGAUCUUCGGACCUUGCGCGAUUGAAUGAGCCGAUGUCGGAUUAGCUAGUUGGCGGGGUAAAGGCCCACCAAGGCGACGAUCCGUAGCUGGUCUGAGAGGAGGGUCAGCCACACUGGAACUGAGACACGGUCCAGACUCCUACGGGAGGCAGCAGUGGGGAAUAUUGGACAAUGGGCGCAAGCCUGAUCCAGCCAUACCGCGUGGGUGAAGAAGGCCUUCGGGUUGUAAAGCCCUUUUGUUGGGAAAGAAAAGCAGCAGGUUAAUACCCCGCUGUUCUGACGGUACCCAAAGAAUAAGCACCGGCUAACUUCGUG